rnacentral:rRNA from 2 species
UGAUUGACGUGCUUGCACUGAUUUCAACAUUGGAACGAGUGGCGAACUGGUGAGUAACACGUGGAAAACCUGCCCAGAAGCAGGGGAUAACACUUGGAAACAGGUGCUAAUACCGUAUAACAACAAAAACCGCAUGGUUUUUGUUUGAAAGGUGGCUUCGGCUAUCACUUCUGGAUGGUUCCGCGGCGCAUUAGCUUGUUGGUGGGGUAACGGCUCACCAAGGCGAUGAUGCGUAGCCGACCUGAGAGGGUAAUCGGCCACAUUGGGACUGAGACACGGCCCAGACUCCUACGGGAGGCAGCAGUAGGGAAUCUUCCACAAUGGACGCAAGUCUGAUGGAGCAAUGCCGCGUGAGUGAAGAAGGGUUUCGGCUCGUAAAACUCUGUUGUUGAAGAAGAACGGGUGUCAGAGUAACUGUUGACAUCGUGACGGUAUUCAACCAGAAAGCCACGGCUAACUACGUGCCAGCAGCCGCGGUAAUACGUAG